rnacentral:lncRNA from 1 species
GAGAGGAGCUUCAUGCUUCGGGUCGGGGAAGGAAAGACAUAGAAUUUGGAUUUUUUUCUUCGUAGAGUUUUGGGAAGACUGAGGCAAUCGCUGCUGAAGUCAGUAUUGUAAUGGUGAAUCGGGAUUUUCAAUGAAGUGGGUUUGAAUACUCUUGACUGUUUUGUGAAAUUGAGUUACGUCUGUGAUUGAAGGAUUAAAAGGGUGUCUAUAGGAUUGAGUAUGCGGAGUGAAUGAAAUUUAUUGGGUUAAUCUAACAAGACAGUCAGUGGAUACAAGAUCGUAAGUACAAAGCGGUAUUGAAGAUUAAGAGUUUGGGUUGUUCGGGGUUCUCUGUAACGUCUAGAGACCUACCGAUUGGGGCAAAAAGGACUUCGACAAGCAGUCGAAGAGCACCCGUAUAGAUUUACAGUACAUUGUUGCAGUCGUUUAUAUUCCAGCAGUCAAAAACUGAUAGACUCCUUGACUAUCGGCGAAUCUCCAUACUACCUUCUACAGCCAGACGCCCGGCGCGUUCUCGAGCAGGAAAGCAUGUAAUACGACAAAAAGUGGUGAACCCGACGUGAAAGCUUGAGGUGGAAGGUAUUGGAUUUCGGUUGAUUUUAUCUUUAUUUUUAUGGAAAAUGAAAAUAAAAAUUUUGAAGGAUUUUUGGGAGGAGUUUCUGGUGGGGAGUCUUCUAAAGGACAAGGUAUACACAUGGAUCCGUCUAUUGCUAGUUUGUUUCAAGCCUUCUCAUUGUCAAUGCAGCAACAGUAAAGUAAUGAUUGAAAGGAAGCUUUGGCAACCAAAGCAUUGCAAGCAGUGGUCAAUAAAAUUGAUCAAUUUGAUGGGAGGAAUAUUUCAAGGUAUUUAAGAUGUUAUGUUCGUGAAAUGGAAUUAAAUCGGGUUUCUGAGAAGAAAAUGGUUGCACUAUUUGGACUUGCCACGAUACCAGAGAUAAGGGACCACAUUACAUCGAUUACGGAUCGUUAUGGGAAUUCAUAGGAGGAUUUUUUACAUGCAUUGAAAGACGAAUAUUUCUUGGAAGAUGCUGAUCGCGUUAAUAAGAAGUUGUUUCUGGGAUGGAUUGAACGGCCCAAUAAGAAUUUGCAAGCAACAGAGCUACUAAGGGAAUUUGAGAGGUAGUACUCUCAAUUAUCAAAGGUAGAAAAAUUGACAUUGGAGCCGAACAAAGUUGAACUAUUUCUUCAAGCUGCUGAUGGAGAAUUGCAAGAGAAAUUAGAACCCCUUCUUGAAGACAAAGAAGAAGAUGAAGGAUUGACAACGAAGUGGAAGAACGUUGAAGAUGCGGUGGGGUUGGUUACAAAAAAAGAAAGGAGGAAGGAUAGGAGCAAUAUCUCGAAAACAGUACAAGCACCCAAAGCUCAAGUACGUACAAUACCACCAACAAUGCCUACAGUUCAACCUUCGACAUCCUUGUCAAAGAAAGCAGAUAUGGGUAUGGAAGAAAUUAUACGAGGAAUGCGAGAUCUUCAAAUCAAAUUGGCAAGACUUGAAGAGAAUACUUCUAUAAACAAUUCGAAGAAUGUUUCAAAACAAGGAUAUGUACAAAGAUGCAUUUGGUGUGAUGAUGCUUCACACACUAAAAAAGAUUGCAAUGAAUUUAAUAAUAUGAUACGACAGGGAAUUAUUUGCUGGAAAGAUGGGAAGAUAGCAUUGAAAGAUAGGAAGGAUCUUCUUCAAACCAAUUUUGGCAAGGGAAGAAUGAGAGCAUUGGUUCAAGAUUACUUAAAAGGGCAUGAAACAGUAGCACGAGAAAGUGCAAGUUAUGGUGCUAGAGUAGAUGAUGAAAUUGGUGGAAGUACGGAAACUAGUGAGUUUUGGGCUUCUGCCGUUUCUACAAUGCAAGAAAGAAAAUUACCUCGAGAAGCGUUAUUGAGAACUGCAGCUACAAUACGAGGUAGAACAGGUUGGGAGGAUCCUGUUGAGUCUCUUCCAGUUCAUGCAUAUAUUGCUAAGAGCCAACAUGAAGCUUUGAUGGAAGAAAAAAGACGAGGAAAUUUUGAUGAUACUAGAGAAGGAAAUUCUUUUAAGAGGCAAACUCGAGGAGACAAGGCUCGGGAGGCAGCUUCACAAGAAUUGCCUAUAAAGGAUACCUCAGCAUCAUUGGGAGAAAAAACAAUGGAGACAAAAGAUAAGGGCAAAUCAAUUGCUUAUAAGCUACUUUUUGACAUUGAAGCGGCAACAAAUUUGAAAGGGGUGUUGGAAGAACGUAUAUUAAAUGCUAAGGUGGAAUUCACAUUGAAAGAAGUCUUGGGAAUUGCAAAGGAGUUUCAUGAUGUCAUCAUUGACAGCAUUAAGCGAAAGAGGCAAUUAAUGGGCGAAACUGGAAUGAGUCAUGCUAUUGAUGCAAGAAUAUGUAGAGAUGAAGAAGAGGUUGAUAUUGGUUAUAAGCAACCAACAAAUGAAAAGAAUGGAUAUAAUCAACGAGUACGUUUCGAAGAUUCUAGUGACAAGGAAAUGGAAACUUUGAGCCAUUAUACUCGAAAGCUUUGGGCAAGGGCAACUACUGAGGUAUUGGUGAAGGUAGGAGAUAUAGAAGAACCAAUAGUUGCUUUGGUCGACCAUGGUUCUGAAAUAAAUCUCAUGUCUAAAGAUCUUUAUAAGAAGCAAAAAUGGCCAAUUGAUAUGGAACAUGGAUGGGCAAUACGAGCAGCUAAUAACACACGGGGCGAAUUAUAUGGAGCUUGUCCAGAUGUCAAAAUUCGGAUUGGGGAUGUUGCGACGGAGCAACAUUUCUUCGUUCAAGAUACAACGUCUUAUCCGGUUAUUUUAGGACAACCUUAUAUCACGGCAACACGGAUGGAAACAAAAGUACUUGACGAUGGUUCUGCUUAUGCAAGGGUACGGAGCGAAGAUGGGAGGAAAGCUGUACAAUUUCUAACAGUACCUCCUAACCAUGAACGGAAUCGAGAUAGGUUGAGGGAGAAACCAUUGCCAAAGAUUGUUGAAGGAUUUAAGGAUUUUGGAGAGGUACCACUGUAAAGCGAGAUUAUUGAGUUACAAAAGAGGAGGUACUCUCGCGAGAUGAAGGUGCCUUUGAUGCGAGUUUUAUUGGUAUAUUGGAGGAUGGAAAUAUUAUGUAUAAGGGAGUUGAUGAUUUUAAAAGAAAAGAAAGAAAAAGAUUAUAUAAUAUUGAAGGACAAUUACGCAAGAUAGGUACAUUGCAAGAUGAUGAGAGGAUUUUUGGUGUUUAUGAAGAAAAUGGACUGGAAGAUUCAUUGGAAUUGAUUACAUCUAUUGGGUUAGUGGAUAAUGAUAAGAUUGUUGAGAUUCAUUCGAGAGAGGUUUAUACCAUGCUUGAAUCUUUUCAAGCACAAGAAGUCAUAGUAGAGACGAGAUAUAAAAUGGCAGAUAAGAAGGUAAAGCCUGUUGCCGGACCAUUACCAGAGGAUUCUAAAGAACAAAUGGGAGAAGCAUCAAAAGAAGCAAGUUUAAGAGAUCCAAUGAGUAUUGGACAUCAGUUUACUGAAGAGACUUUUGAAGAAUUGAAGAUUAGUUCUGAUGGUUCUUUAUUGCCGGAGGAAAUUACUUGCUUCAAAAAGAUGUUGGCUAAAUAAGGUAGAUCGUUUGCCUUCGAAUCUCAUGAAAUUGGGUGUGUGGAUCCAAAUAUUAUAACACCUAUGGUUAUCUUCACUGUACCACAUGUACCUUGGAAUCUAAGACCGAUUCCAGUACCGAGGGCAUAUUUACCUAAAUUGAUGGAACUAUUGAAAGAAAAGAUAAAGAUGAAAUUAUUGGAACCUUCAUUUGCACCGUAUUCUAGUCGAUGGUUUACAGUACCUAAGAAGAAUGGGUCACUACGGUUUAUUCAAGAUAUGCAGCCGGUGAAUGCAGUAACUGUGAGAAAUGCAGGAAUUGGACCUAUUGUGGAUGAAUUUGCUGAGGCGUUUGCUGGAAGGGCGAUCUAUUCAAUGGGUGAUUUUUAUUCAGGUUAUGAUCAAUUUCAACUUGCCGAAGGAAGUAGAGAUAUGACAAUGAUGAGGACACCGCUUGGAUUGGUUAGAAUGUGCACUCUUCCUCAAGGCGCGACCAACUCAGUUGCGCAUAUGAUGAAUGGGAUGAAUAAGGUAUUGAGAGAUUUUAUUCCAAAAAAGACUAUGCCUUUUCUGAAUGAUGUUCCUAUAAAAGGGUGCAGAGAAGGAGACAAGGAUGAAACUUUAGAUACGAGGGGAUGUCGCAGAUAUGUUGUUGAUCAUAUACAAGAUUGUGAAAAGAUUUUAACUCGGCUUGGAGAAGUUCAUCUUACAUUAUCGGGUAUGAAGUCCGUAUUUGGAAUACGAGAGGUUGUGAUUGUUGGACAUUUAUGUGGAUUUUACGGAAGAAAACCAGAUCCGACUAAAAUUGAUGCAAUUGGAAGGAUGAAAGAGGAUUGUGAUUCUUUAAUAGAAGUUCGUAGGUUUUUAGGUACAUGUGUAUUUUAUCGAAUCUAGAUCCCUCAUUAUGCUUACAUAGCGGAUCCAUUAUAUGAACUGUUACGCAAGGGUUACCGUUUUAAAUGGAAAAAAAGGCAUAUUCAGGCAAUGCAAAGAUUGAAGAAAUUAUUGAUGUGACUACCAAUAUUGAGGAAGGUUGAUUAUAAGUGCAAUAGACCAGUGAUUCUUACUGUAGACGCUAGUCCAAUUGCCGUUGGAUGGGCUGUGGGUCAAGAUGAUUCACAUGGGAGUAGAUUUGCAGUUCGAUUUGGGGCUAAAGUUUUAAGUAUUCAUCACCGUGCAUAUUCACAAGUCAAAAGAGAACUUUGAGGAGUCGUUUCGGCUAUGAAAGCUGAAAAGGACUACUUGAUUGGGGCAGUAGUAGUAAUUGAAACAGAUUGCUUGCCAUUGCUUGAAAUGAUUAUUAACUGUUCAACGCCAGAUAUUGCAAUGUUGAGAUGGAUUGCUUAUAUUAAGUCACUAAAUCUAGAAUUUAAGCAUAUCACUGGGAAGGACAAUUUAGUAGCAGACAUGCUAUUUUGAGUAAGAUACGAGAGGGAGGACGAAAUGGUUGAAGACAUUGAUGAUGUUGGAUUGAAAUUCUAUUCAAUAUCAAAUCUCAACAAAGAAGACAAGCUAUUUCUUGAAGAAUCUUAUGAAGGAGAAUUAUUGGAUAUUGGUCAUUAUUUGAAUACCUUGACUAAGCAGGGGAAUUGGUCUACAGAAAAAUUCAAACAAAUAAGAAAAAAAGCAUAUGGAUUUUUACUUCGAGAUGGAUUCUUAUGGAAGAGACCGAAGAAAGGAAUUGGGAUGCCACAACGAGUGAUAGGCAAAAGGGAAGAAAAACUAAAAUUAUUAAAGGAGUUUCAUGAUAGUUUAUGGGCAGGGCAUAGAGGAAUCUGGGCUACUUUUGCUAAACUCAAGGAACGAUAUUGGUGGAAAAAUAUGUAUCGAGAUGUGCUCUCAUUUGUAGAGUCAUGUGAAAUCUGUCAAUCGUAUUCUAAUAUCCGACAUCGAGAUGGUCUUCAUCCUACGUAUUCUCUGGCUAUUCAUUUUAAAUGGGUUGUUGAUUUGGUUAUUAUGCCGGUUGGGUUAUGGCAGAUGAGAUAUUUGGUUUUAGCUCGUGAAGAUUUAUCAAAUCAAGUAGAAGGAAGAGCAUUGAGGACAAAAUCUACAAAGGGAAUUUGUAGGUUUUUGCUUGAAGAUGUCAUUUGCCGUUACGGGUGCGUAGGAAAAAUUACUACAGAUCAUGGAGAAUUAAAUGCACAAGAAGCUCGUAAAUUCUUUGAAAGAUGUAGAGUUAAACUAUCACUGACUACUGCUUAUAAUCCAGAAGGGAAUGCAAAAAGCGAACGUGGUCACCCACCGAUUGUGAAAGCAUUGAUGAAAGCUUGUAAUGGGAAAGUUAAAGAGUGGCUACGGCUUUUGUCAUUUGCAUUAUGGGCUGAUCGAACAACACAUAUCUCGGUGACAGGAUAUAUGCCAGUAGAACUUAUGACAAGUCAAAAACCAAUUAUGCCGAUUGAAGAAAAGGUACUUACUUGGAGUAUGCUACUAUGGGAAGAUGGAUUGACAAGAAAAGAACUUCUGGCUAUUAGGAUUCGACAAUUGGAGCAAAGAAUGGAAGAUGUCCACAUAGCAUUGGGAAGGUUAAAAAGAGCAAGGUUACAAAACAAGGCGCGAUUCGAUAAGCAACAUCAAUUGAGACCAAAAGCAGUCGAGGAAGGUCACUGGGUAUUUGUUUAUGACAAUAGUCUGGAUAAUCAACAUAGUACUUUGCGGAAAUUCUCAAAACAUUGGUUUGGACCAUAUGUGGUAACAACUGUUCAUGAUAAUGCGACUUACUCAUUACGGGAGUUAGAUGGUACAAAAUUGAAAAUACCAAUUGCAGAGAAGCGAGUAAAAAUAUUUAAACAAAGACACGCAGAGAUGAAUAUGGAAGACCUUAAUGAAGGUAUAGAGAUUCCGCAGCAAGAAGAUGAAAGUGAUUUGGAUAAUGAAGGUGACGAAGACGAACAUGACAAAGACGUAGAGGAUAUAUACUGAAUCAAACAGCAAUUGGAUAAAUUGGUGCAUACCGGAGGAUGCACAAGUUCAGAGGGGGUGGAUGUCGUAUUGUAACACGAGUAUACAGUGAAAAUAAAAAGAAAGGGGAAUUUUAUUAAUAUUCAGUUACCUCGAAUAUUGGGAGCAUCGACCAACUCCAGUGCAAAUAUUGAGUGGUCAGAUUCAGUCGCUCCGUUACAGUCAGCCGGGGCAUACUGAAAUGCUCCAUUCGAUUCCAAUAACGGGAGUGAGCAGGAAGAGAAGGGCCAAUUUACAUGACGGGUUCGAAGAACCAAUUGGAUCCAAUUUCGAUAAUCCAAUCCGGGUCCUCUUAUCCAAUAUGAGACCUGAAUUGGCCGGUCAACCCAAUGCAGUCUAAUUACGGGAAAUCUAGGUCUUACUACAGGUCUUAGCCAAUCUGACGCGAGGACCAAUUUGACCCAAUUAUGCAAACAUCUAGGUUACUACGGGCAUCUUUCCCAAUAUGGGACCUGAAUUGGUCGGGCGACUUAAUAUGGACCUGAGUACGGGGUUUCGAUUUUGUUUCAGGCUGUCCUGUUCUCUGUGCCAUUUCAGGGAACGUUGUUUGCAGUAAAUGGAUCUCUUAAAGGUAAAAACGGAGGAGAAGGCCUUGAUGACGUGAACCAAUUUCGGAUCUAAGCUCUGACGGCGGGAGCCAAUUUCGGAUCCAAGACGGAAGAUUGAAGGAAUUCAAGAGGAUAAGGUUAGGGGGAGAAUAAGUUUGAAGGGAGAAUCGGGGGAGCGGCAGAAAGCUUUUGCAAGGUUACUAGUUCGGUUUUCAUUGGAGGUUUUUUGGAGAUCAAGGGAAUUAGAGAGAGGAGCUUCAUGCUUCGGGUCGGGGAAGGAAAGACAUAGAAUUUGGAUUUUUUUCUUCGUAGAGUUUUGGGAAGACUGAGGCAAUCGCUGCUGAAGUCAGUAUUGUAAUGGUGAAUCGAGAUUUUCAAUGAAGUGGGUUUGAAUACUCUUGACUGUUUUGUGAAAUUGAGUUACGUCUGUGAUUGAAGGAUUAAAAAGGUGUCUAUAGGAUUGAGUAUGCGGAGUGAAUGAAAUUUAUUGGGUUAAUCUAACAAGACAGUCAGUGGAUACAAGAUCGUAAGUACAAAGCGGUAUUGAAGAUUAAGAGUUUGGGUUGUUCGGGGUUCUCUGUAACGUCUAGAGACCUACCGACUGGGACAAAAAGGACUUCGACAAGCAGUCGAAGAGCA